CGGGAAGAAUUAAUUAAAUAAUUUUUUGUAAUCUUCCGACUAGUGUAGGUCGUAAUAUUAUAUUAGAAGAUCUGGACGCUUUUGCCCUUUUUCCUCUCUUGUCUAUUCUCCUCGCAUGUUCCUCGAGCACAAAAUUUGAGUAAUUUUCGAUUACCCAGUGAAACUUGCUGUGGAACUUGAAACUGCUGCACGGUUGAGGGCUUCUGUGACAAAAUAGAGGCGAAGCCAGGAUUUUGGGUUCUGAACUUGCCAUUGAACUUAUAGAUUGUCUUAGUUACUAAGUUUGCUAGCUACGCCCUUGGUGACAACUUUAAUGGCGGAUAAUUGGAUACCUACUAGAGGAUGGAUGUUUGCCCCCAGCGAUACUGAAAUGCUUGAUAUUCUGGAAGAUUAUGCAACGGGACGAGCCAACCCGCCUCAAGCUACAAUCAACUUUGCAGAUGUGUAUGGCGAUAUAAACCCAUCGGUCUUCUUUGCUCGUGCUGUCGGAGACCCUUCAAAUCCAACAGUCAAAUACUUCGUGACUACUACGAAGGAAAUUUCAGCAUCAAGGUUCUCGAAAAGUUUCUGGAAAGAAGACAGCCAACCUAUAGGCAUUAUUAAUGAAGCCACGGGUGAAAAAAGAGGUUUCAAGAAGCGCAUGAAGCUUCAGAUGGAUAAUAGCUGGUGGAUAAUGAUGGAGUAUUCAUUAAAUUCAAAUAUACCAGGAGUUCAAGAAGAUUUAAAAAUGAAGUCAUCUGCCGAGUAAGGAGAAUUCCAACCAACAAUCCUGAGGCCCAGGCCCAACAACAGUAAGAAACCCAAGCCCAGCAACAGCAAGAGGCCCAAGCCCAGCAACAACAGGAAGGAGAGCUGAUCAUUGACUUACAACUAAAGUUGUGAUUUGGUAGCAUAGGAUACGAUUUUCCCGAUAUACACAUUUUUGGUGACUAAGAUAUCAUAUCGUACUACUGAUAUACGCUCUCCUACCCAAUUUGUCUGAUACACUUGGGAUUUCAAGAAUCAAAUGAGCUUUUCUUUUAGCAUAAUUUUGUCAUAUGCCUUUUGGAUGGUUAAUUAUUGUGACUUAUAGAACU